UACGUAGGGUGCAAGCGUUGUCCGGAAUUAUUGGGCGUAAAGGGUGCGUAGGCGGUUUGGUAAGUCUGAUGUGAAAUCUAUGGGCUCAACUCAUAGUCUGCAUCGGAAACUGCCGGGCUUGAGUGUGGGAGAGGUGAGUGGAAUUCCUGGUGUAGCGGUGAAAUGCGUAGAUAUCAGGAGGAACACCAAUGGCGAAGGCAGGUCUCUGGGCCACAACUGACGCUGAGAAGCGAAAGCGUGGGGAGCGAACAGG
rnacentral:rRNA from 1 species